UACGUAGGGUGCGAGCGUUAAUCGGAAUUACUGGGCGUAAAGCGUGCGCAGGCGGCUUUGCAAGACAGAUGUGAAAUACCCGGGCUCAACCUGGGAACUGCAUUUGUGACUGCAAGGCUAGAGUACGGCAGAGGGGGAUGGAAUUCCGCGUGUAGCAGUGAAAUGCGUAGAUAUGCGGAGGAACACCAAUGGCGAAGGCAAUACCCUGGGCCUGUACUGACGCUCA
rnacentral:rRNA from 1 species